GACGAACGCUGGCGGCGUGCUUAACACAUGCAAGUCGAACGGAAAGGCCCUGCUUUUGUGGGGUGCUCGAGUGGCGAACGGGUGAGUAACACGUGAGUAACCUGCCCUUGACUUUGGGAUAACUUCAGGAAACUGGGGCUAAUACCGGAUAUGAGCUCCUGCUGCAUGGUGGUGGUUGGAAAGUUUCGGCGGUUGGGGAUGGACUCGCGGCUUAUCAGCUUGUUGGUGGGGUAGUGGCUUACCAAGGCUUUGACGGGUAGCCGGCCUGAGCGGGUGAACGGCGACAUUGGGACUGAGAGACGGCCCAGAAUCCUACGGGAGGCAGCAGGGGGGAAUAUUGCACAAUGGGCGGAAGCCUGAUGCAGAAACGCCGCGUGCGGGAUGACGGCCUUCGGGUUGUAAACCGCUUUCGCCGGUGACGAAGAGUGAGUGACGGUAAAGGGUAAAGAAGCAACGGCUAACUACGUG
rnacentral:rRNA from 1 species